CAUGAAGGCACAGCCUGUUACC
rnacentral:miRNA from 1 species